GGCAGGGGAGAGGGAACUGUGGUUGGUAUCUAAUGUGAAAAAAGAACUCUUAAAUUAAAAUAAAUAAACACAUAAAAUGAUAAAUUGUUGGUCAAAAUUCUUGUUCAGGUUAGAACCGGGUCUCCCGUGUACUUUCUCAAGAAGAAUGUAUCAAAGUUUUGUAUUCGUAGAUGAGUGAGAUAAAAAAGAAACAACACAAGGAUUAUUAUAUAGAACAUGAUUUUGUGAUUUUGUGUAUAAUCCAUUCUUCUUUUCAUCUCUCUGGAUAUUCCUGAGUUGCCCUUCCUUGUGGAUCACGAUGUCUACGGCGAGCCUAGGGUCUUGGGAGCACAGUGACCAGUGCUCAUCCAUCUGAAGGAUUGGCUUUUCUGUGCCUUAAACUCUGGGCCACACUCAUAAUUUCUACACUUCCUCUGGGUGUUUACAUGAAGACCCAAAUCCUGUGAUGAUGAUUGACACCGCGUUUCCUGGCUGGGAGGUCCGUGGUUGCCCUGUCCCCAUGUGUUGAGGAUCAAGGGAACUGAUUGCUCAUCCCUCAGAAGGAUUGGCUUCAGUCUGCUUUAAACACUGGGCCACAUUCAUAAUCUCUACACUUCCUCUCGGUGUUUACAUGAAGACCCAAAACUUGUGUGAGUAAUAUUCAAUAUUAUUGCUUGUUUUGCUCAGCAAAAUGCUCUGUGUUAUUAUAGAGUAUUGAAUGUAUCUGAGCAAGGGAUUUGUUAUUCGGAAGAACAAAAUAAUAUCAGAGGCACUUUUAUUGUGUCUGAAUUAAUGUGUUAAACAAAAAAAACAUACACACAUUACUAGAGAAGAAGAAGGCUAACAUAUACCGAUGAUGACUUGUUCUGACGAUAUUAGUCAUGGACGAUGACUACAAUUAAAAGUCUGAGGUUCACAUCACAAUACAUCCUAUGUGCCCCUCUUAGCUAGGGAAUAAAAGUCAGGCAUUUGGGGCACAUAGUGGUCAUUAGCAUCAUGCAUUUUCUUUGUUGUAUCAAUGAAAAAUUUUAUAAAUAUUUACACAAAUAUAAAUGAAGAUAAAUUUUUGAGGCAUUGAUCAACUAGUAAAUAAAUAUUUUACCACAAAUGCUACUAUUAUUUGUGGAUACUAUGAAAGUCUGUUAAAAAACAAUUGGCAUCAAGAUGUAUAUAAACUUUAUCCAAGUUCACAUAGGAAGUAUAAUUAGUGGGUUAAGCCCCAGUGAGGGUCAAGACCUUAAUUUUGAAUCUUACUGGAUUUCUUAAGACACUAUCAUAACAAUGUAAAAUCUAAAUAACAAAUGAUAAAAUGAUAAAUGUAGAAAUAAUUUGAAAAAUAUCAAUGUUUUUAUUACCUUCCCGGUUAUGUACUCCAUGGAUGUAUGCUGGGUAACACAUGAUUGCUGGGCUGCAAGAUCCUGGGUUGCCCUGCCCUCUUGCAUAUGGAUCAAGGGAACUGAAAAUGGAUUCCACACCCAAGCUGAUUUUCACACUCUGCCUUGGUCGUGAGCCUCAUAAUGAGCUGUUUCAGACAGUAAAAUAGACACAGUGUGAAUACAGUCUGCAUUUUGAUGUCACUUCAUGAUGCUUCAAAAGGCCAUUCACUGUAUUGAUAAGAGCAACCAUGGCAAAUACUGAAUGUGAAUGGAUACCUCCAAGCUGUUUUACGUAUUUUUCUUUGUCCUGAAUUUGAAGUUCACUGUUCAUGUAUAAAAGAUAAAGACUGUAAUGGAUAUCCAGCAAGCUGAUUUUAUGCUAUCUGAUUUGGAACUGAACCUCAUGAACUAGCCUCUGUGUUUGUAGGAUAGACAAUGUAAUUGGUAACCCAAGCUGAUGUAUAUAUUCUUCCUUGGUUGUGAGAUUCCUGCUCUGGUCAUUGUGGUCCUAAGACAGACACCAUUGUGUGUAGUCAAUGUUCAUGUCUUGGGUUUGGUUACUUCUAAAGACUACGUACACUAUUGUUGAACUACUGCUCUUCCUCUAGAAGAACAACCUUUUCCAAAUGAAUGAACACCCACAGGCUGAUGUACACACUCUUCCUUGGUUGUGAGCUUCUUGAUCAGCUCUUUGUGCUUGCAAUAUAGACAACGUAAUGGAGACCCACAGGCUGAUUUCUCCAUACAUCACUGGUCUUGAGCUUUGUCGUCAUGUCUUUGGGCUCAUAAUAUGGACAGAGUGAUGAAUUUCCCUCCAGACUUGAUUUACAUGUUCUCCUUUGGUUUGGGGCUUCCUGAUCAGCUCUUUGGGCUCGUUAUAAAGACACAGUAACAGAUACCCCCAAGCUGAUUUUACACGCAUUCCUUGGUCAUGAGCUUCUUGAUCUGCUGUUUGUGUUCAUAGGAUAGAUACAGUGGAUGGAUUUCCCCCAAAGUUGAUUUACAUAUUCUCCUUUGGUUGUGAUCUUCAUGAUUAGCUCUUUGGGUUCGUAAUAAUAGAUACAGUAAUAGAUGCCUUCAUCACUGAUCACCGGGUUCAUGGAGCAUAGGGACCAACCAUAGAUGCUUUCUGAAUGAUACUCAUCUUCUGGUCACCAAGUCCACAGUUACCCUAUGUGUCAGGAACAGAGAGACCAAUAAAUGCCAGCUCCAGAACAAUAAAUGGAUCCUGCCUGCUCCUGAGUUCUUAGGCUGCCUGUGUUUUUAGGAUCCCAGCUACAAUUGGAUCAGGGAACCCUCUGGAAGAGGAGGUGAAAAGAUUGUACGAACCUAUGCAAUGGAAGACACCAAGGAAGCAAGGCCUUCUAGAUACAACAGAACUGAUGCAGAUAUGAGCUCAUAGAGACUGUGGCAGCAUGCACAGGCCUGUACAGGUCUAAGCCAGAUGAGCUCCCAGCGCUAAGAGGGCAAGUGGACACAACCCCAUAUCCCUAAACCAGAAGCUAUCUGUAAUUGAUAACCUCUCCCAAAGGAAAAACUGUAUUUCUCCAAUGGAACCUCAGAUGUGUUGGCUCAGAUGGCCAACACAAAAUGAACUUGAUGGCAUUUUUGGAAGCUUUUGUGAUGUGCAAUGAUUUGCUGGGUAUUUUUUUUACCCUACGGACAUUUUGAUUAUCUAUUAUGGUUUCUGAUUUUAUUUUUGAAGAGUUUUCUAUGUAUGUGAAUGUAUGUGCCUCAGCAUCUGAAUUAGUUUCUUGUAAUUCUUCUGUUUUUUUUAUUUCUCCUCUUCCUCCCCAUCACUUUAGAUGCUUGUUUUAUUCUAAUGAAAGAAUGAAAGAAUGGGUAUGGAUUUUGUUGGGUGUGUAAAUGGGGAGGAUCUGGGAGGUGUUGGUGGAGAGGAUACUGUAAUAGAAAUAUAUUGUAUAAAAAUAAAUUUUCAAUAAAAAUGAUUUUUUUCUAUCACUAAAAA